UACAGAGGUGGCAAGCGUUGUUCGGAAUUACUGGGCGUAAAGGGCGCGUAGGCGGCCUUGUAAGUCCUGUGUGAAAUCCCCCGGCUCAACUGGGGAACUGCACAGGAGACUGCUUGGCUUGAGUUCGGGAGAGGGAAGCGGAAUUCCGGGUGUAGCGGUGAAAUGCGUAGAUAUCAGGAGGAACACCGGUGGCGAAGGCGGGUCUCUGGGCCGAUACUGACGCUGAGGAGCGAAAGCGUGGGGAGCGAACAGG
rnacentral:rRNA from 1 species